rnacentral:rRNA from 1 species
UACGUAGGGUGCAAGCGUUAAUCGGAAUUACUGGGCGUAAAGCGUGCGCAGGCGGUUUUGUAAGACAGGUGUGAAAUCCCCGGGCUUAACCUGGGAGCUGCAUUUGUGACUGCAAGGCUGGAGUGCGGCAGAGGGGGGUGGAAUUCCGCGUGUAGCAGUGAAAUGCGUAGAUAUGCGGAGGAACACCGAUGGCGAAGGCAAUCCCCUGGGCCUGCACUGACGCUCAUGCACGAAAGCGUGGGGAGCAAACAGG